rnacentral:rRNA from 1 species
GAUGAACGCUGGCGGCGUGCCUAAUACAUGCAAGUCGAGCGAACGGACGAGAAGCUUGCUUCUCUGAUGUUAGCGGCGGACGGGUGAGUAACACGUGGAUAACCUACCUAUAAGACUGGGAUAACUUCGGGAAACCGUAGCUAAUACCGGAUAAUAUUUUGAACCGCAUGGUUCAAAAGUGAAAGACGGUCUUGCUGUCACUUAUAGAUGGAUCCGCGCUGCAUUAGCUAGUUGGUAAGGUAACGGCUUACCAAGGCAACGAUGCAUAGCCGACCUGAGAGGGUGAACGGCCACACUGGAACUGAGACACGGUCCAGAAUCCUACGGGAGGCAGCAGUAGGGAAUCUUCCGCAAUGGGCGAAAGCCUGACGGAGCAACGCCGCGUGAGUGAAGAAGGUCUUCGGAUCGUAAAACUCUGUUAUUAGGGAAGAACAUAUGUGUAAGUAACUGUGCACAUCUUGACGGUACCUAAUCAGAAAGCCACGGCUAACUACGU